UACAGAGGGGGCAAGCGUUAUUCGGAAUUAUUGGGCGUAAAGGGCGCGUAGGCGGCGAUUCAAGUGACGGGUGAAAUCCCUCGGCUUAACCGAGGAACUGCCUGUCAGACUGGAUUGCUUGAGGCCGGGGAGAGGCGAGUGGAAUUCCCAGUGUAGCGGUGAAAUGCGUAGAUAUUAGGAAGAACACCAGUGGCGAAGGCGGCUCACUGGUCCGGUACUGACGCUGAGGUGCGAAAGCGUGGGGAGCGAACAGG
rnacentral:rRNA from 1 species